UAUUUGAAAAUGAUAAGAAAUAAAUAAUCAUAAAAAAAUUACAAUAGAUGAUAAAUAUAAAUCUAGUUACAUGAAAAACUAUCACAAUUGGUAGAAUCUAUUGAAUUGUGAUUUAUUAGGUCAUAAGAAAACUAUUAUAACUUCUCUUCUUACUUCUCAACUCAAUUAUACUUAACAAGAAGAUCCUUGAAUUGGAUAUAAAUAACUUAUUUCCUGUCGUCAUAUAAUAAACAUACGUCUACGUCAUAACGCUGGUCGAUUAAGCUUGUGGAAAAUUGGAUUGAAUAUCUUCAAGAGCGACCCAUUGAACUAUUUCAUCGAGUUGCAGUUAAAUCGAAACGAAUAUAUUUCAUAAAUCUUGCUCCUAAAUUAAAGAUCGACAAUAUGAUCGACAAUC